GUGAGGAAUAUUGGUCAAUGGGCGGGAGCCUGAACCAGCCAAGUCGCGUGAAGGAAGAAGGAUCUAUGGUUCGUAAACUUCUUUUGCAGGGGAAUAAAGUGCAGGACGUGUCCUGUUUUGUAUGUACCCUGAGAAUAAGGAUCGGCUAACUCCGUGCCAGCAGCCGCGGUAAUACGGAGGAUCCGAGCGUUAUCCGGAUUUAUUGGGUUUAAAGGGUGCGUAGGUGGUUUGAUAAGUCAGCGGUGAAAGUUUGCAGCUUAACUGUAAAAAUGCCGUUGAAACUGUCGGACUCGAGUGUAAAUGAGGUAGGCGGAAUGCGUGGUGUAGCGGUGAAAUGCAUAGAUAUCACGCAGAACUCCGAUUGCGAAGGCAGCUUACUAAGCUACAACUGACACUGAAGCACGAAAGCGUGGGGAUCAAACAGGAUUAGAAACCCCUUAGUCC
rnacentral:rRNA from 1 species